rnacentral:rRNA from 1 species
UACGGGGGGAGCAAGCGUUGUUCGGAUUUACUGGGCGUAAAGGGCGCGUAGGCGGCGCAACAAGUCACUUGUGAAAUCUCUGGGCUCAACCCAGAACGGUCAAGUGAUACUGUCGUGCUAGAGUGCGGAAGGGGCAACUGGAAUUCUUGGUGUAGCGGUGAAAUGCGUAGAUAUCAAGAGGAACACCUGCGGCGAAGGCGGGUUGCUGGGCCGACACUGACGCUGAGGCGCGAAAGCUAGGGGAGCGAACGGG